rnacentral:tRNA from 1 species
UGAUGUGGCUCAGUCGGUAGAGCACCGCCUUGGUAAGGCGGAGGUCACGGGUCCGAUUCCCGUCAUCA